AUGGCUCCUGGUCGUCAGCAUGAAGACUACGCCAUUGCCAUCGUCGAGCCUGCUCCUCUGCCUGAAGAAGCUCUCAUCUUCAGAAAUAUGAUUGGCUGGGAUGAGUUACCACCACCAGAGCAUAACCAUGCGCCACAACACCAGGAUGCUCCACAUGAUGACCCGCAUGAUGUGCAAGAGGAGCUUGUGGAUGACAAUCAAGUUGUUGUGGAUCAAUCGCAAGAGUCGAUGGUCCUGCAAGUUUCAGAUGAUUCAGUUAAUAAUCAGCCAGUGAAUGAUAUGAUCAUUUUUCAGCAACAUGGGGCUCCCUUGCAGCCUCCUCUGCAUAUUGGACAGGUGCUCACUGUCUUUGGGCCUGUCCUGCCUCCUGACAUGUUGUGGCAACGCUCAUUUGAGAAGAUGAUGCCCUCUCUCUGCUUUGCUGAAAUCCCAAAGCUCACAUUUAAGUCUGGUUUUGGGUUACUCUUGCUUUCUAACAAGUCUUGGGAUGUUUGCUAUAAUGGAUAUGAUCUCAGCAUUGUUCUGCCACCUGCCAGUUGCUCGGGCCCUCUGUUUUGA
rnacentral:rRNA from 1 species